rnacentral:rRNA from 1 species
UACGGAGGGUGCAAGCGUUAUCCGGAAUCACUGGGUUUAAAGGGUGCGUAGGCGGUUUAAUAAGUCAGUGGUGAAAGGCCGUAGCUUAACUAUGGGAUUGCCAUUGAUACUGAUAGACUUGAAUCAGGCUGAGGUUGGCGGAAUGUGGCAUGUAGCGGUGAAAUGCUUAGAUAUGCCAUGGAACAUCGAUUGCGAAGGCAGCUGACUGGACCUUGAUUGACGCUGAGGCACGAAAGCGUGGGUAGCGAACAGG